rnacentral:other from 1 species
CGAAUCCUAAAGUGUUCGUUAUUUGCUAAUCAGUUUUGACCGAACAUUUUUAUCGUAGGGAGCUUGUAUUCCACUUUGGAUGGAACGCCCGUAACUUUAGGGACUUCAGAAUAAAUGGAUAUGGCACCCACCUGCAGAGUGCGGGUUCAAAACGAUACUUCAAAGACGGCACGUUUGGGAUUCGU